rnacentral:lncRNA from 1 species
AGGCAUUUAAAAUAAAUAAAAAUAUGCACUCAUCAAACUUCCCCAUACCUAUAUUUUGCUCGUCCUCGAGUAAAAUCAAAAGAAAAGAAAAUAAACUAUGAAAACUAGAUGCGAUUCCUAGGCUCCUUUUCGUAGGCGUGACGGGUGAUUUUAGGUUCACCAACCCGUUAAACUCGUAGACGAUCUCUACAAGAGGAGUUUUGUCUCCUAAGGGUUUACAGAAGAUAUACCCAUAAAAUCUUCGAGACAUUCUAGCAAG